GCCGCGCUAGCUCAGUCGGAAGAGCGCCGCCUUGGUAUGGCGGAAGUGGCGGGUUCGAUCCCCGCGUGCGGCUCCA
rnacentral:tRNA from 1 species